GAAAAGGGUCAUGGCUGUUAGCUGAUUGCGUUAAACAAUUCUCCAUGGCGUCGAAAUGUGAGAAGCAAAAGUUAUUUUAGUUCAUUGUUUAAUGCAUUUUUUUCGUGUUCGAAGAAGAUAAAUAUAUGUUUCGAAGCCAUAAUUUGUGUUACACGAGGCUGUACAAUUAAAAAUCAAGAAUGUGAGGUACAAGGACGACAGGAAGGUGGACCCGGUAUCGCACAGUUUUCUGUUUGCAACCAAGAAAGAUUAAAUACGUGGCAAGACUCUAGUAAUAAGCUAGCUGAAUCACCCCAGAUUUUGAAAAAGGGCGAUAAAGUCUGUAAACUUGAUUUUGACUCUAAUUUAUUCAUUCGGGGAAACCGUUUCCGCAAAUCUUAUCUGAAACCACGAGCCAUUCCCACGCCUUUUCCAAAAGUGCAUUUGCAAGAUUUAGAUAUUGAUACUGCAAUUAGACGUCAAGGAUGUUUUACAGCAUUAGAUGCACAACAAUUUCUUGGUUGGGAUAAAGAGAAUCGCUUUGGCGAGAAAAAAAAAACAAAUCUCAACACUGUGAAAUUCGCGAUGAAUUUUAUUCUGAAGAAUUCAACAGUAGUGAAAAUGGAGAUUUUGAAGAGUUCUCAGUUGGUUCUAAAGAAUUAAAUAACGAAUUCACAUCUCCAAGCGGCUCGUGUUUUAAAACCUAUAGUUGAUAAUUUUCAAAAUAGAGUACGUAGAAAACGAAAACUUCCUGUGAAGAAUAAUUAUGAUAAGGAAAACAAAAUAAAGACUUCCAAAUUGUCUA